rnacentral:rRNA from 1 species
UUUGAAAUCUGGUCCCCCCGCGGGGCCCGAGUUGUAAUUUGCAGAGGAUGCUUUUGGCGCGGCGCCUUCCGAGUUCCCUGGAACGGGACGCCAUAGAGGGUGAGAGCCCCGUCUGGUCGGACGCCUAGCCUCUGUAAAGCUCCUUCGACGAGUCGAGUAGUUUGGGAAUGCUGCUCUAAAUGGGAGGUAUAUGUCUUCUAAAGCUAAAUACCGGCCAGAGACCGAUAGCGCACAAGUAGAGUGAUCGAAAGAUGAAAAGCACUUUGAAAAGAGGGUUAAACAGUACGUGAAAUUGUUGAAAGGGAAGCGCUUGUGACCAGACUCGGUCGCGGCGGAUCAUCCGGCGUUCUCGCCGGUGCACUCCGCCGCGCUCGGGCCAGCAUCGGUUCGCGGCGGGGGAUAAAGGCCUCGGGAACGUAGCUCCCUCGGGAGUGUUAUAGCCCGUGGCGCAAUACCCCGCGGCGGACCGAGGUUCGCGCUCCGCAAGGAUGCUGGCGUAAUGGUCACCAGCGACCCGUCUUGAAACACGGACCAAGGAGUCGUCUUCGUAUGCGAGUGUUCGGGUGUCAAACCCCUACGCGUAAUGAAAGUGAACGCAGGUGAGAGCUUCGGCGCAUCAUCGACCGAUCCUGAUGUUCUCGGAUGGAUUUGAGUAAGAGCAUACGGGGCCGGACCCGAAAGAAGGUGAACUAUGCCUGUAUAGGGUGAAGCCAGAGGAAACUCUGGUGGAGGCUCGCAGCGGUUCUGACGUGCAAAUCGAUCGUCAAAUAUGGGCAUGGGGGCGAAAGACUAAUCGAACCUUCUAGUAGCUGGUU